AAAACUGCAUUUUUGGGAGUGAGAAGGGGUUUGUUUGUUUUCAAUGAUCUGUUAAAGUAAGUUUUACUCCAGCUGUAAAACCUUACUUUUUGGUUCCCUUCUUAAUGUGCAUUUAUACCUACCCUUCUAAGUGGAUGAGCUUUAUAAUGCAGUUGCUGCUUUUUAUCUGAAUGAUGAGUGUUUGCUUUAAGUUAAUGAAAAUGUAAUUGUUCCUCGAAGGAGCAGAGACGGUAUCUAGCGGUAAAGUGGAAUUUCUAUGGAUCCCGUGCCAAGGAAUACGACGUAUUAAUCUCUGUGACGGGACAGACAUGACUCGGCUUGUACAAGUUCCUCAAAGUAAAAGUCAGUCACUGCUUUAAUUUCCUUGAUGGUAAAAACUGCGGUCAUAGAAAUGCGCUAAGCAUUUCUUAUCGACUGAACUACCAGCUUGCUACCUGGUGAUUCACUGUUAAUUUUUUUGUGUGUGCUUUUUAUAAACUGUGAUUUUUUUUUUGUCUUACAAUUUGAAGAAUGUACACAGUACCAACUAAUUUCCUAUUUUCCUGUCAUAGUCUAUGCUGAGAUAAAUGAUCACAUUAUGCCUAAUUUAUUUAAUUACAAUAAAUCAUGUACAUGGAUGCUUCAGGGAUUUUGACUGAUGCUCUUUCUUUUAAAAUGAUUGCAAACAAUUUAAAUUGGUUGAAAAGUACAACUAAAACGCAAUGGUAGUGGAUUGUUAAAAAAAUGCAACAAUUUGCUUCCUCUGAACCAAAUGUUGUAGUUUGAGAAACUAGUUGUUUUAAAAGUGCAGAUGCAAAUAAGUUAUGUACUUGUAAAUACUUACUGAACUCUUAUUUUCAAGACAGAUUUUUUUUCUUUUCAAAAUGUGAGAAUUUGCACUUCAUGAAGCAUCUGUGUUUUUCAGGGUUGUAUCAAGCACAGCUGUAAUUUGAAUUUAAAAAAUUUCUGUAUUUUUAAAUAAAAUUCUAUUUUAAUUAUG